AGCAGCCGCGGUAAUUCCAGCUCCAAUAGCGUAUAUUAAAGUUGUUGCAGUUAAAAGCUCGUAGUUGAAUUUCGGGGUUAGUAGGUUGGUCAUGCCUCUGGUAUGUACUGGUCUCACUGAUUCCUCCUUCCUGAUGAGCCGUAAUGCCAUUAAUUUGGUGUUGCGGGGAAUUUGGACUGUUACUUUGAAAAAUUAGAGUGUUUAAAGCAAGCUAACGCUUGAAUACAUUAGCAUGGAAUAAUGAAAUAGGACGUUCGAUCCUAUUUUGUUGGUUUCUAGGAUUGACGUAAUGAUUAAUAGGGAUAGUUGGGGGCAUUAGUAUUCAAUUGUCAGAGGUGAAAUUCUUGGAUUUAUUGAAGACUAACUACUGCGAAAGCAUUUGCCAAGGAUGUUUUCAUUAAUCAAGAACGAAAGUUAGGGAUCGAAGACGAUCAGAUACCGUCGUAGUCUUAACCAUAAACUAUGCCGACUAGGGAUCGGAUGAUGUUUAAUUUUUUAAUGUACUCAUUCGGCGCCUUAA
rnacentral:misc_RNA from 1 species